AAAGAAAACAAAAACGGGAGCGAGCGAAUCCAGACCGCAUAUCAAUAACACGGAGGACUGGCUCUUAUACACAUCUCCUAUCCCACGAGACAAAACAAUCCCCCUGCGGGCUCAGCGCGCGGUGCCUCCGGGCGCCGGGCGUCCGCCGAGGGCCAACAAACUCGAAUUUACUACGUGUAUAUCUGAGGGGCGAAAGCCUGUAAAAAUGAAUCAAAACUUUCAACAACGGAUCUCUUGGCUCUGGCAUCGAUGAAGAACGCAGCGAAAUGCGAUAAGUAAUGUGAAUUGCAGAAUUCAGUGAAUCAUCGAAUCUUUGAACGCACAUUGCGCCCGCCGGCACUCCGGCGGGCAUGCCUGUCCGAGCGUCAUUUCAACCCUCAGGCCCUCCCUUCCGGGGGACGGGCCUGGUGUUGGGGCUCGGGGUCCUUCGGGCCCCCGUCCCCUAAACCCAGUGGCGGUCGCGCUGUAAUCCCCUGCGUAGUAACACACCUCGCACCGGAGACCAGCACGGCCACGCCGUAAAACCCCCCAAUUUUACCAAGGUUGACCUCGGAUCAGGUAGGAAUACCCGCUGAACUUAAGCAUAUCAAUAA
rnacentral:rRNA from 1 species